rnacentral:rRNA from 2 species
UACGGAGGAUCCAAGCGUUAUCCGGAAUCAUUGGGUUUAAAGGGUCCGUAGGCGGUCUUAUAAGUCAGUGGUGAAAUCUCCCCGCUCAACGGGGAAACGGCCAUUGAUACUGUAAGACUUGAAUUAUUAGGAAGUAACUAGAAUAUGUAGUGUAGCGGUGAAAUGCUUAGAGAUUACAUGGAAUACCAAUUGCGAAGGCAGGUUACUACUAAUGGAUUGACGCUGAUGGACGAAAGCGUGGGUAGCGAACAGG